GACGAACGCUGGCGGCGUGCUUAACACAUGCAAGUCGAACGGAAAGGCCCUGCUUUUGUGGGGUGCUCGAGUGGCGAACGGGUGAGUAACACGUGAGUAACCUGCCCUUGACUUUGGGAUAACUUCAGGAAACUGGGGCUAAUACCGGAUAGGAGCUCCUGCUGCAUGGUGGGGGUUGGAAAGUUUCGGCGGUUGGGGAUGGACUCGCGGCUUAUCAGCUUGUUGGUGGGGUAGUGGCUUACCAAGGCUUUGACGGGUAGCCGGCAUGAGAGGGUGACCGGCCACAUUGGGACUGAGAUACGGCGCAGACUGCUACGGGAGGAAGCAGGGGGGAAUAUUGCACAAUGGGCGGAAGCCUGAUGAAGAAAAGCCGCGUGCGGGAUGACGGCCUUCGGGUUGUAAACCGCUUUCGCCUGUGACGAAGCGUGAGUGACGGUAAUGGGUAAAGAAGCACCGGCUAACUACGUG
rnacentral:rRNA from 1 species